rnacentral:rRNA from 1 species
GACGAACGCUGGCGGCGUGCUUAACACAUGCAAGUCGAGCGGUAAGGCCCUUUCGGGGGUACACGAGCGGCGAACGGGUGAGUAACACGUGGGUGACCUGCCCUCAGCUCUGGGAUAAGCCUGGGAAACUGGGUCUAAUACCGGAUAUGACUCCAUGACGCAUGUUGUGGGGUGGAAAGCCUUGUGCGGCUGAGGAUGGGCCCGCGGCCUAUCAGCUUGUUGGUGGGGNGAUGGCCUACCAAGGCGACGACGGGUAGCCGGCCUGAGAGGGCGACCGGCCACACUGGGACUGAGAUACGGCCCAGACUCCUACGGGAGGCAGCAGUGGGGAAUAUUGCGCAAUGGGCGGAAGCCUGACGCAGCGACGCCGCGUGGGGAUGACGGCCU